rnacentral:rRNA from 1 species
AUUGAACGCUGGCGGAAUGCUUUACACAUGCAAGUCGAACGGCAGCACGGACUUCGGUCUGGUGGCGAGUGGCGAACGGGUGAGUAAUACAUCGGAACGUGCCCAGUCGUGGGGGAGAACGUAGCGAAAGCUACGCUAAUACCGCAGACGAGCUAAGGAUGAAAGCGGGGGAUCGCAAGACCUCGCGCGAUUGGAGCGGCCGAUGGCAGAUUAGGUAGUUGGUAGGGUAAAGGCCUACCAAGCCGACGAUCUGUAGCUGGUCUGAGAGGAUGAGCAGCCACAGUGGGGCUGAGACACGGCCCAGACUCCUACGGGAGGCAGCAGUGGGGAAUUUUGUACAAUGGGCGAAAGCCUGAUCCAGCCAUUCCGCGUGCAGGAUGAAGGCCUUCGUGUUGUAAACUGCUUUUGUACAGAACGAAAAGGCUCUGGUUAAUACCCGGGGCUCAUGACGGUACUGUAAGAAUAAGCACCGGCUAACUACGUGCCAGCAGCCGCCGUAA